GAAAACGGCAGGAUUUUGACCCGAGGGAAGUAAAGGGGCUGGGGUGCAGUUCAGUAGUGGAGCUCACGAGGAGCAGAGCAGCGGCCUGGUUCAAAGCUCAGCAGUCGACCCCCCUUCUCCCCAACACAGAGAAUGAGGAGCAAAGGAACCUGAGUGAAUGUCCCUGAGUGGUUGGUAACAGUGUCGGCAGCCACCCAGGAGGUGAGUCCUG
rnacentral:lncRNA from 1 species